rnacentral:lncRNA from 1 species
GGCUGCUCGGGAGUGAAGGCGCGGAGGCCCGAGAAAGGGUAAACAAGACACCGCCUCAUCAGAUAAGAACGUCUCCUUCGAUGUCACGGAUUUCAAGAGGUAGCUGGAGAAACUGACGUCAGGAGUGUCCUGUGAAUGAACAUCGCCCGAGGCCUAGCACCCACAGAAGAAGGGUUCUAUUUUACUCUACUUUGCUUGAUAUUAUUUAUUUUCUAACAAAGUGAUCCGUAGUCUGCAACCUUAGGCUCUGACAGGCAAAGCCCAUUUCUUAGCUCUGGGGAUGGCUUGCAGGGUCUCCACCUCUGUCCACUUUGGUGUCCUCUUUCUCCCUUCGGCUCCCCACCUCCAUCCCCCGAGCCCAC